rnacentral:rRNA from 1 species
UACGUAGGGUGCGAGCGUUGUCCGGAAUUAUUGGGCAUAAAGAGCGUGUAGGCGGCCAGGUAGGUCUGCUGUGAAAACUCGAGGCUCAACCUCGAGACGUCGGCGGAAACCAUCUGGCUAGAGUCCGGAAGAGGAGAGUGGAAUUCCUGGUGUAGCGGUGAAAUGCGCAGAUAUCAGGAAGAACACCCGUGGCGAAGGCGGCUCUCUGGGACGGUACUGUCGCUGAGACGCGAAAGCGUGGGGAGCGAACAGG